AAUGAACGCUGGCGGUAUGCCUAACACAUGCAAGUCGAACGGCAGCACCGUAAGUGCUUGCGCUUACGGGUGGCGCGUGGCGGACGGGUCAGGUAUAUAUCGAAAUCUACUCUUUCGUGGGGGCUAACGUAGGGAAACGUACGCGAAUACCGCAUACAACCUACGUGUGUGGGCAGGGGAUCUUCGGACCUUGCGCGAGUGAAUGAGCCGAGGUCGGAUUCGCUAGUUGGCGGGUUAGAGACCCUCCAAGGCGACGAUCGGUAGCUGGUCUGAGAGGAUGAUCAGCCACACUGGAAGUGAGACACGGUCCAGACUCCUGCGGUAGGCAGCAGUCGGGAAUAUUGGACAAUGGGCGCAAGGCUGAUACAGCAAGAUCGCGUGGGUGAAGAAGGCGUUCGGGUUGUAAAGCCCUUUUGUUGGGAAAGAAAAGCAGCAGUUUAAGACGCGGCGGUAAUGACGGUACCGGGAGAAUAAGCACCGGCUAACUUCGUG
rnacentral:rRNA from 1 species